rnacentral:rRNA from 1 species
UACGUAGGUGGCAAGCGUUGUUCGGAUUCAUUGGGCGUAAAGGGUGCGUAGGUGGCGCCGUAAGUCGGGUGUGAAAUUUCGGAGCUUAACUCCGAAACUGCAUUCGAUACUGCGGUGCUUGAGGACUGGAGAGGAGACUGGAAUUCAUGGUGUAGCAGUGAAAUGCGUAGAGAUCAUGAGGAAGACCAGUGGCGAAGGCGGGCUCUGGGCAUUAACUGACGCUGAGGAGCGAAAGCAUGGGGGAGCGAACAGG